UGCCAAGUCGAGGGGAACUUUGGGAGCUUGCUCCCAUUGUUUAGCGGCGGACGGGUGAGUAACACGUGGGCAACCUGCCCUGCAGAUCGGGAUAACUCCGGGAAACCGGUGCUAAUACCGAAUAGUUUUUUGCCCCUCCUGGGGCGGAACGGAAAGACGGUUUCGGCUGUCACUGCAGGAUGGGCCCGCGGCGCAUUAGCUAGUUGGUGGGGUAAUGGCCCACCAAGGCGACGAUGCGUAGCCGACCUGAGAGGGUGAUCGGCCACACUGGGACUGAGACACGGCCCAGACUCCUACGGGAGGCAGCAGUAGGGAAUCUUCCGCAAUGGACGAAAGUCUGACGGAGCAACGCCGCGUGAGUGAAGAAGGUUUUCGGAUCGUAAAACUCUGUUGUAAGGGAAGAACACGUACCAGUUAACUGCUGGUACCUUGACGGUACCUUACCAGAAAGCCACGGCUAACUACGUGCCAGCAGCCGCGGUAAUACGUAAGUGGCAAGCGUUGUCCGGAAUUAUUGGGCGUAAAGCGCGCGCAGGCGGUCCCUUUAGUCUGAUGUGAAAGCCCACGGCUCAACCGUGGAGGGUCAUUGGAAACUGGGGGACUUGAGUGCAGAAGAGGAAAGUGGAAUUCCAUGUGUAGCGGUGAAAUGCGUAGAGAUGUGGAGGAACACCAGUGGCGAAUGCGACUUUCUGGUCUGUAACUGACGCUGAGGCGCCAAAGCGUGGGGAGC
rnacentral:rRNA from 1 species